GAAGAUAAUGACGGUAGUCGGAGAAGAAGCCCCGGCUAACUUCGUGCCAGCAGCCGCGGUAAUACGAAGGGGGCUAGCGUUGUUCGGAAUUACUGGGCGUAAAGCGCACGUAGGCGGAUAUUUAAGUCAGGGGUGAAAUCCCGCAGCUCAACUGCGGAACUGCCUUUG
rnacentral:rRNA from 1 species